rnacentral:rRNA from 1 species
UAUCUCUGUAGAGUCUGCAUAUCAAUAAGCGGAGGAAAAGAAACUAACAAGGAUUCCCCUAGUAACGGCGAGUGAAGCGGGAAGAGCUCAAAUUUGAAAUCUUCAAGGUUUGACCUUGACGAAUUGUAGUUUAAAGAAGUGUUUUCGGUUAGAGGAGUAGUAAAAGUUCUUUGGAAUAGGACAUCAUAGAGGGUGAGAAUCCCGUAUUUGACUAUUCUUUCUAGCUUUGUGAUACACUUUCAAAGAGUCGGAUUGUUUGGGAAUGCAGUCCAAAAUGGGUGGUGAAUUUCAUCUAAGGCUAAAUAUUGGCGAGAGACCGAUAGCGAACAAGUACCGUGAGGGAAAGAUGAAAAGAACUUUGAAAAGAGAGUUAAACAGUACGUGAAAUUGUCAAAAGGGAAGCGUUUGACACCAGUGUUGUUUUUCCGAAAAUCAAUUAAAAAUUGAUUCAUGCCAGGUUGUAUUGACCUUAUCAGCUUGCAAUUUGGUUUUGGGUCUCUUUUUGAUGCACUUUUCGGUUAACAAGUCAACAUCAAUUUCCUUUGCUGUAAAAAGGUAAGAGGAAGGUGGCUUCAAUUUCGGUUGAAGUGUUUAUAGCCUUUUAUCUCUGCAGUCGGGGAGAUUGAGGUCUGCAGCGUAGAUCCUUCGGGGCUAGAUACAUUUAUGCUAAGUUAUAGCUUUUCAUAGACAACUUGUUGACUAUGUUUAGUCAUGUAGCUUACUCGUAAGUGCUAUUUUACCUACGCUUAGGAUGUUGAGCGCAUGUCUCUCUCU